rnacentral:rRNA from 1 species
GUCUACGACUGUACCAUUAUGAAUGUGCCUGAUCUUGUCUGAUCUUAGAAGCUAAGCAAUUAGUACUUGGAUAGGAGUCUGCCUGGGAAUACCUACCUGGUGCUGUAGGCA